GUGCAAACCUGAUCACUAGCUCUCCGUGAUGUUGCAGAUGUGAGGGGAACCAUGUUUGCUAAAAUCACUGCAGUGACAGAAAUAGACUAACUGCAGAUCUUACUAGGGUUGUCUAUUCUAUCCUAGCUUAAAA